rnacentral:lncRNA from 1 species
AAUUAUCAGGGAACUGAACUAGAAAGUGACUCAUUAGUUACAGUGUGGCUUCUCAAGAAGACUCAUUCCAGAUUUCAUGCUACUUACACAUCAGGCCUCCUCCCUGCCACCCCCUGCACGCUUACAUACUGUUAGCAGUCAGGGCUUCCUUUCUUCUUCCUUUUGAAAGUACUUCUAAUGCUAGUAGUUCAGCGGGCAGUGAAGUGCUGCACGGUCCUGCCUCUAGAGAGGGGCAGCAGCUAAGUGUUCCCUUCUCCUUGUGGGAGCCGAGUGAACCUUUAGACCCUUUAGAUGCCAUCUCAUCAGGAAGCUAGAGAGAAGGACAAUGCACCAACUCAGUAAUGGAGAGUUCCCAUGUCUCACUAGUGCUCAGGAGCCUUUAAGAGACCAAAGGUAACUUGGCCAGGGCUCUCCUUUCCUCAGUAGUUCAUUAUCCAAUGGUGCCCUCGUCCUCUCUAACAUGCUUCAAAGUGCAUAAGAUUGUUGUGCUGGGUACUUUCAGUUCCUGGUAAUGUCAUGGUAGCAUUUCCCAUUUCUGUCCUGGUAUAAUGUAUAACAAUAGAUUUUGUUGAAGUGUAAUUCUAUAAAGAAAUAAAAAUAUUUGAGAUGUAUCGUCACU